GCGUGGACCCUGGACUUGUGCUCCUAUGUCAUUUAUCCCAGCUGUUCCCGGUUUCCCCUUCUGAGCCAGGUAUCUUGGCCUCCUCGGUGGCCACAGCUUUCUGCUAAGCCUCGGUCUUCUUCCCGGCAGGAGAGACCUUUGACCCAUGUGCGUCCUGAUCCGUGGCCAGGAGCGUACCCAGUACGGCGGUGCGCCACUCGAGAGGCCUGACCCAGAUAUCAGUGCUCCAUGGGAAUGCUGCAAAGACCCGGGGCUCUGAAAAGAUGGCCAUGCUAAUUCCUCUGUUGGUGUUUACCCAAGACAUGAAGACCAGAACAGGAAGAGACACUCGUGGGCUAUUCAUAAUCAACCAACUCAAUCCAUGAAUGGCAAAGUUGAUGGUGAUAAUUUUCCCUCAGAAACUGUCCCUCAGAAUGAAAAGUAGCCCAUGAUGAAUGUGGCCUAAGCACAUCUCAGAAGCACAAUGCCAAGGGAAAGAAACUCCUUAAAUGACAUCGUGGGGUUGGCAGGAGAAUAGAAACAGAAAUCAGACCCGCGGUUGUCAGAGAUGGAAACACAGAAUGGGAUUUGUUUGCAAAGCGUCUCAAAGAACUUUGUGGAAAGAACAGCCAUGGUCUAAGCUGUAAUACUGGUCAAAGCUUGUUUCAUGGUACUCAAAGAAGAUGAACUUAAGGAUUUAAAUACUUCUCAGUAAGCUUGAGUUAAAAGGGGUGUGAAGUCCUCAAAUAAUUAAACAUAGACUUGGAUGAUUCAGCCCACUUCUAGGCACAUAACAGAGAGGAUGGAAAGCAGGUCUGUAUGCCAAAUGCGCAUGACACAGUUCUCACGGGCACUAAAAGGUUGGGCCCAGCCCAGAAGGCACCGAUCAACAGGUGCAUGGAUACAGCAAAUGUGACAGGUACUGACUUUUUCAAGUAAUGGGACGAGUUAAGAAGAGAGAUCUGCUAAAAGGCUGCAUCCUCCCAUCUAGCAAGGCCUCCUAGACCUUAGGCUUUGCUGCAAUGGCAAAGAUAAAUGUGAUGAAGACGGGGGCUGGAGAGAUGGUUCAGUGGUUACGAGCACUAGCUGCUCUUCCAUAGGUCCUGAGUUCAAUUCCCAGCAAACACAUGGUGGCUCACAGCCAUCUGUAAUGGAAUCUGAUGCCCUCUUCUGGUGUGUCUGAAGACAGCGAGAGUGUACUCAUACACAAAAUAAACAAAUCUUCAAAAAAAAAAAAAUGUGAUGAAGACACAAUACUCUGGGACUAGGUGUGAAUGUCCUUGUCCCAAGCUCCUCCCAUACAAAGGACCACCCUACUUGUCUCUUCAGGUUGCCCCACCUGUCUCCUUUUAGCCAGACGGAUGAUUCUGCUUUUCUACCAUUAUAAUCAGCAUUCUCUGAUAGGAAUCUUCUAGAGAAGGGAGGCUUAGAGCAUGCAUAUGCACACACACACACACACACACACACACACACACACACGAGUUUAUUCUAGAGAAUUGGUUCAUAGAGCCAUGGAGGCUAACAUGCCCCAUAUUCUGCAAUUCUCUGGCUGGAAACCCAGGAGAGAUAAUGGUGUAAUUCUAGUUGGAAGCUAGCAGACCUGAGACCCAGUGUUUCUCUUUGACUCCAAACGGAGAAGAGAAGCCAUUGUGAAGACCACAAGGCAGAAGGAGCACCUUCUUGCUCUUGGAAGUAUCACUCUUCAUUGUCUGUUGAAGACUUCUGGACUGACUGGAGGAGGCCGGUCCUCACUUAGGAGGUCUUUUUCCUUCAAUCACUCUACCAACUUAAAUAUUCAUCUCACCCAGAACAUCUCACAUGCAAAUCCAGAAUCAGUCCACUUAAGCUAACACAUAAACUUGUUGUGUUGGGUAAUUUUAUGUCAACUUGACACAAGCUAGAAUUAUCUGAGAAGCAACCACAAUUGAGGAAAUGCCUCCAUAGAUUGGCCUGUAGGUAAGUCUGUGGGGGCAUUGUCUCAAUUAAUGAUUGACGUAGGAGUGGGCAGCCUACAGGGAUGCUGCUACCCCUGGGCAAGUGAUCCCCAGUCGUAUAAGAAAGUAGGCCAAGAGAGCUGGCUAGCAAACGGAUUAAUGUUCACAUGGCUUUUGCUCCCGUUCCUGCCUCCAAGUUCCUGCCCUGGCUUCCUUCAGUGAUGGACUUAUACACUCUAAGGUGAAAUAAACUCUUUCCUUCUC
ensembl:lincRNA 1700112J16Rik RIKEN cDNA 1700112J16 gene